GUAUCAUGAUGGGGACAUUUCCUGAGUAACUCCUUAAAUCUUUCCUAUGCAUCAUACAAACUCCCAUCUUCAAGUUGAUGGAAAGAUGUGAUCUCAUUCCUUAAUUU
rfam:Citrus clementina cultivar Clemenules unplaced genomic scaffold scaffold_6, whole genome shotgun sequence.